rnacentral:rRNA from 1 species
AACGAACGCUGGCGGCAUGCCUAACACAUGCAAGUCGAACGAGAUCUUCGGGUCUAGUGGCGCACGGGUGCGUAACGCGUGGGAAUCUGCCCUUUGGUUCGGAAUAACAGUUGGAAGCGACUGCUAAUACCGGAUGAUGACGAGAGUCCAAAGAUUUAUCGCCAGAGGAUGAGCCCGCGUAGGAUUAGCUAGUUGGUGUGGUAAAGGCGCACCAAGGCGACGAUCCUUAGCUGGUCUGAGAGGAUGAUCAGCCACACUGGGACUGAGACACGGCCCAGACUCCUGCGGGAGGCAGCAGUGGGGAAUAUUGGACAAUGGGCGAAAGCCUGAUCCAGCAAUGCCGCGUGAGUGAUGAAGGCCUUAGGGUUGUAAAGCUCUUUUACCCGGGAUGAUAAUGACAGUACCGGGAGAAUAAGCUCCGGCUAACUCCGUGCCAGCCGCCGCCGUAA